GGUUAAAUUACUUUAAGCUGUUAUAACAAAAUAGCAUAGACUUGGCAUUAUAAACAACAGAAAUUUACUCUUUCAGUUCUGGAGUUGGGAAGUCCAAGAUUGGAUGUCUGAAGAGGGCCUGAUUUCUGGUUCAUAGAUGGUGCCUUCCUGCUGUGUCCUCAUGGUAGUAGAUGCUAACUAGCUCUAUGGGGUCUCUCUCAGAGAGCUCCAAACUCAUGACCUAGGCAUAAUAUCCUUCUGGAUAAAGGGAAUAAAUAUUAUGAGCACUCUGAUAAAAAGACUCAGAACACCAAAGCUGGGCCACAUUUUCUGAUCCCAAGCUCCAGAUCAUACAUAAAAUAUAAACCCAAUUCUAUUGUUUCCUGAUAAAGUUCACAAACACUGCCUCCAUGAAAGACCUGUCAUUUAUAUUACAAGAAUAAAGUGCUGGGAAGAUUCUCCCCAGAUUAUAUAUUGGAAUUCUACAAUUACUGAGUUAUGCAUUGUCUUCAUUGUCUUUCCUCUUAGGCCCUUUUAUUAAGUUCUAAUCUCCUGAUCAUUGUAGCACAUAAAGUUUUAAAGUACCUGUCCUGAACAAAUGUAUCAGAUUUCCUCUAUGAAAGGGCUAAAACAGUAUAAGAACACUGAGUAACUCUGUGUGAGGGUUUGGGGGUAGGUAAUAGGAAUGGAGGUGUAGAAAAGAGCUUAGUAAAGGAAAGGUAGACAGCCUGAAGCACAGUCUUAUCCCUUUCACAAUUUUUCUGAGCACUAAUUCCCUUGCUGUUUAUUUUGUAUUACAGACAGUGAACUACUACUACUGGAUGGAUACUGAUGCCUUUAAGAGAGUCCUAAUUUCAAUCUUCUGUCAUGGAGAAUAUCCAAUCAAAUUAGAAGUGAAACAAGUCAAAGUAGCUACAAUAUUCAAGACACAUUCCAGGCAAAGUGAAGGAACACGGAUGGCUG
rnacentral:lncRNA from 13 species